CCUACGGGUGGCAGCAGGGAGGAAUAUUGGUCAAUGGGCGAGAGCCUGAACCAGCCAAGUCGCGUGAGGGAGUACUGCCCUAUGGGUUGUAAACCUCUUUUGUCGGGGAGCAAAAGCCGGACGUGUCCGGCUGUGAGAGUACCCGAAGAAAAAGCAUCGGCUAACUCCGUGCCAGCAACCGCGGUAAUACGGAGGAGGCGAGCGUUCUCCCGAUUUAUUGGGUUUAAAGGGUGCGCAGGCGGUUGUUUAAGUCAGCGGUCAUAUCGUGGGGCUCAACCCCAUCCAGCCGUUGAAACUGGGGAUCUUGAGUGUGCGAGAGGUAUGCGGAAGGCGUGGUGUAGCGGUGAAAUGCAUAGAUAUCACGCAGAACCCCGAUUGCGAAGGCAGCAUACCGGUGCACAACUGACGCUCAGGCACGAAAGCGUGGGUAUCGAACAGGAUUAGAUACCCCGGUAGUC
rnacentral:rRNA from 1 species